GUUCUAGCUCUAUUGUGAUUGGUCUAAAGCAACCAACCAGAAUACCGGAGUACAAAAAACAAAAAGCUAAAAUCCUAAAUGAGAUAAAACCCAACCCUUUUUGCCAUCAGUCAGAAUCUCUAUAUUGAUAGUAAGAAUAAGCAAGCCCAGCCUGAUCAUAUUUGAAUCAUUAUAGAAAAGGGACACUCCAAGCUUAGUGUGAGACAUUCUUUUUCAAAGCUUCAUAAAGGUGGUGCGUUAGGAAUAUGAGCAUCAAUAAUAUAAGAGAAAAAGAUACUCACAUUGGAAGUUCCAGCAUUUCCUGUAAAAUUCC